rnacentral:rRNA from 1 species
UACGUAGGGGGCUAGCGUUGUCCGGAAUCAUUGGGCGUAAAGCGCGUGUAGGCGGUUCGGUAAGUCCGCUGUGAAAGUCGGGGGCUCAACCCUCGGAUGCCGGUGGAUACUGUCGGGCUUGAGUACGGAAGAGGCGAGUGGAAUUCCUGGUGUAGCGGUGAAAUGCGCAGAUAUCGGGAAGAACACCCGUGGCGAAGGCGGCUCUCUGGGACGGUACUGACGCUGAGACGCGAAAGCGUGGGGAGCGAACAGG